AAGAUGAGAUUUCCCAUAGCGUCAAGCUAGUAAGAACCCUGAAAGAUGAUCAGGUUGAUAGGUCAGAGGUGGAAGCGUGGUAACAUGUGGAGCUGACUGAUACUAAUCGUUCGAGGACUUAACCAAUUUUUA
rnacentral:rRNA from 1 species